rnacentral:rRNA from 1 species
CUACGGGCGGCAGCAGUUAAGAAUAUUCUGCAAUGCGCGCAAGCGUGACAGAUUGAGCCAGAGUGCGUUUCUAAUUGAAAUGCUUUUGCCAAGUGUAAAAAGCUUGGCGAAUAAGGACUGGGUAAGACUAGUGCCAGCCGCCGCGUGUAAUACUAGCGGUCCAAGUCGCAGCCAUUUUUAUUGGGUCUAAAACAUCCGUAGCUUGCCAGGUAAGUUUCUUGUGAAAUCCGGCUUCUCAAGAGUCGGGCGUGCAAGAAGUACUGCCAGGCUAGAGACUGGGAGACGUAAGAAGUACGUUUAAAGUAGCGGUAAAAUGUGUUAAUCUUAAACGGACUCACAAUAGCGAAGGCAUCUUACGAGAACAGUUCUGACAGUCAGGGAUGAAGGCUAGGGGCGCAAAACGGAUUAGAUACCCUAGUAGUC